UUAGUCGGUCUCGGAGCAAACGAAGUGAAGCAUGUUAUUUAAUACGAGAGUACGCGUAAAAUCUUACCAGUUCUUGUAUAGCCAUAUUUAUUUAGAAUUAAUUUAUUUAUUGAAUUUUUUUUAUAAUAAGUAUGAGUAGUUAUCUAUUUUUUUAAUUAAUAACUUCGACUUACAGGUGUUGCAUGGCUGUCGUCA
rnacentral:rRNA from 1 species